UCAAAGAUUAAGCCAUGCAUGUCUCAGUACAAACUUUUUCUAAAGUGAAACCGCGAACGGCUCAUUAUAUCAGCUGUGAUUUAAUGGACCUACACCCAGUUUUCCUUGGAUAACUGUGGUAAUUCUAGAGCUAAUACAUGCACAUAUAGUCCCAGACCUGACGGGAAGGGCGCUUUUAUUAGUAUCACAAAAAACCGGUGAAACAUGACUUUGGUCUGUAAAAAAAAUGAAUUGUGAUGACUCUGGAUAACUUUUUAGCUGAGCGCACGGUCUUUGCACUGGCGCCGCUUCUUUCAAGUGUCUGCCUUAUCAGCUUUCGAUUGUACGUUAUAUGCAUACAAUGGCGAUAACGGGUAACGGGGAAUCAGGGUUCGAUUCCGGAGAGGGAGCCUGAGAAACGGCUACCACAUCCAAGGAAGGCAGCAGGCACGCAAAUUACCCACUCCCAGCCCGGGGAGGUAGUGACGAAAAAUAACGAUGCAAGACUCAUCCGAGGCCUUGCAAUCGGAAUGAGUACACUUUAAAUCCUUUAACCAGGAUCCAUUGGAGGGCAAGUCUGGUGCCAGCAGCCGCGGUAAUUCCAGCUCCAAUAGCGUAUAUUAAAGUUGUUGCGGUUA
rnacentral:rRNA from 1 species